GUGAUUAAUCAGAAGAUUAAUCAUCAUCAUGAAAGAUUAAUUAGCAGAAUUCGAGCGAAGUUGACGAGCUAUAGUGGGAGAUUUUCACUUUAUCACGAGGAAGUCAACAUGUUAAGAAAGAAGAGAAUAAAACCUGAGCAGGAUGCAAAAGAACACAUAUUGUCGGGCAAAGACAAAGCCUUCAUUGAGGGACGACAAAUCAACACAUUCAAAGGGAGAGGUGUGUUUGCACUUGAGCACAUUGAACCAUCCACCUUUGUUGUUGAAUACCGUGGGAUUCUCUCUCAAAGUAAACAUGUUAAAGAUGUUCAAGGCAACUACUUGUUUGACUUCACAUGGAAUGGAACACGUUAUUGAUGCAACAAAAGAGGACGG